UCAAUGGGUGAUGAAGCUCUCUAUAUAAUUUGGUGAACAGGAACCUUCUAACCUUCUUUAUCAUGGGGGCGAAGAUCGCGUGUGUUAUCCUUCUCCUCAUCCUUUUUACAGCUGAUGUUGUGGUUGAGGCACAACAACCCGAUCGUAUCUGCAAAGUUGUCUUAGACAGCCCAUGUACCGAUUCAAAUUGUGCGGAGGGAUGCACUAGAACUUAUACUGGAGACGGUGUUUGUGAUAAUAAUCGAUGCAUAUGUUCCUUUCAAUGUCCGUUGUGACUCUAGACACUUUGUUUCAUGUCCUUCCAAUGCCAGAAGUGUUAUCAAUAAAUAAAAAGCCUAUCAACUCAGAGAUUCCUGGGGAUCUCAUCUUUUAUACUUCAA